ACAAAAACCAGUACUAGCUAUAAGCGUAAGAUCACGAAGUCCAACUAUCAUGAAAAGUCUUCUGUCAGAAACCAACUGCAACAUAUCCUGGCAAAUCUAGGACCUGAAUGUCCCUUCUUUUUGAAGUCUAUGAUACAUUGUAAUGUUGUCCAUGGCUUUAGUUUGACAUUGCCGAAGCAAUUCUGCUAUUUGUAUCUGCCAUUCCAUGAUACAUCUAUAACCUUGGAAGAUGAAAGAGGAGAAGAAUAUAGAACAAUAUUUCUUGGGGACAAGAGGAGACUGAGCGGUGGAUGGAGAGGGUUUUGUGUUGCAAAGAAAUUAGUUCUUGGCGACCUCUUAGUUUUCCAUUUGGUCAGUCCUUUGAAGUUUAAGAAACUAAGAGGGAAGGAUCUCUAAAGUUCCUCAUCUCUCUGUUCGCUUCAUGCAAACCUAAACUGUUAACUUGGUGAAAGAUGAUGCAGAAGAGUACCAUCCAAUGCCUCCUCCAAAAGAUGCUUGCCAAGACAAUAUUCAAACGACAAGUCUGACAAUAGAUGCUAUUCUGGAGCGUGUAGAUGAAGAUCACUCCAAGGAUUACAGUGAUCAUCGUUUUGGCUCCAAUCUACUAUUUCAUCCAGGACUUGUCACUCUUGAAGAUGUUUGAAGUAAUUGUGAAUGUCACCAGCAUUUUGAUGAUGAUGAAAUUAGAGCACGACCCACAUAAUACACACACACAAACAUAUGUCUCUUUGAGGAGUUUAAUUCCUGGGUAGUUAGAUACUUAGGAACUCCAAUACUCCAUAUGACCAUAUACGGUUGUAAUUUUGGGUAUAAUAGUUGAAUCCUUCAAUUCUACACAGCGUAUUUGUUUCAAUAUAGCUGUAAUUAUCUCAGCACAUAUUGUAAUCUGGUUGCAUCUUCAAAAAGUUCACGCGUACUCUACUAUUCCAGCCAUAAUCUCUGACCUAAUUUUGGAAAUGAAGCUCCUAAAACUACAUUUGAAGAGGCAGGAGCUCAUAAUCCAAGUUCAGAGUCUCGUAAUACUCCUUGCAUUUAUAAGUAGGGUUGAGCAAAGAGACUGAAAACCCGGAAAACUAGUCCGAAUCGAUCAUUUCAGUGCGGGUUUUCUUUUAAUUUUUAAUUUUAUUUUUUUAUUU